rnacentral:tRNA from 1 species
GUGGUGUAAUGGUCGGCAUGGAUGCCUUCCAAGCAUUCGACGGGGGUUCGAUUCCCCCC